CAAAAUUUCAGGUGCCUCCUGAGACAACACUGUUGGAUUUGGCUGAUAAAAUAAUGAUGUUUUUUCUCUUUACCAGUUUGUUAGUACCAUUUAUUUUAACAAAAAUUUUGAUUGCCACUAAGAAGUUAAGAAUACUGACAAUGGCUGACCAGUUUUUGGAAGAAAAUAGUGUGAGUCUGAGAACUUGGAGUUGUUCAAGAGUCUACUGGAGAAUCCUGCCCUUUCAAAUGACAAUUUUGCCAGCUGCAUUAACUGGGACAAGAUUAUUG
rnacentral:lncRNA from 1 species